AUGGGAGAUGCCAUGGGUGGUGCCAUGGGUGGUGCCAUGGGUGGUUACAUGAACAUGAUUGGAGGUUCCAUGAGUGGUGCAUUUGGCGGAAACAUAGGAGGUGGCUUCGGUGGCAACAUGGAAGGUGGCUUUGGCGGCAUGGGAGGUGGCUUUGGCGGCAUGGGAGGUGCUUUUGGUGGCAACAUGAUGGGUGGCUUGGAAGGUGGCUAUGGCGGCAACAUGAGUGGCGUUGGAGGUGGAUAUGGCGGCAACAUGGGACGAAAUGAAGAUGGUUCCGGUGGUGCUCACGGCAACGAGAGUUCACCGCUUAUUGAGAACGUCGACAAAGACCUUAUUUUAAGUUCAGAGAAUCCGCCUUCACCCUUCGGAGAAAACAUGGUGGUGGUGGAGAUGAUGAUCAUACCACGGUUCACAACAUCGGUGGAGUUGAUGACCCGAAUGAGUAAUAUUCAUGUGCAUUUGAAUUUCUAG
rnacentral:rRNA from 1 species